GGGGAUGUGGCUCAGCUGGUAGAGCACCGCCCUUGCACGGCGGGUGUCAGCGGUUCGAAUCCGCUCAUCUCCA
rnacentral:tRNA from 1 species